rnacentral:rRNA from 1 species
CCUACGGGAGGCAGCAGUGAGGAAUAUUGGUCAAUGGACGAGAGUCUGAACCAGCCAAGUAGCGUGAAGGAUGACUGCCCUAUGGGUUGUAAACUUCUUUUAUAAAGGAAUAAAACGUGGCACGUGUGCCUUUUUGCAUGUACUUUAUGAAUAAGGAUCGGCUAACUCCGUGCCAGCAGCCGCGGUAAUACGGAGGAUCCGAGCGUUAUCCGGAUUUAUUUGGUUUAAAGGGAGCGUAGAUGGGUUGUUAAGUCAGUUGUGAAAGUUUGCGGCGCAACCGUAAAAUUGCAAUUGAUACUGGCAGUCUUGAGUACAGUUGAGGUAGGCGGAAUUCGUGGUGUAGCGGUGAAAUGCUUAGAUAUCACGAAGAACGCCGAUUGCGAAGGCAGCUUACUAAACUGCCACUGACAUUGAUGCUCGAAAGUGUGGGUAUCAAACAGGAUUAGAUACCCUUGUAGUC